rnacentral:rRNA from 1 species
GUGGGGAAUAUUGGACAAUGGGCGCAAGCCUGAUCCAGCCAUGCCGCGUGAGUGAUGAAGGCCCUAGGGUUGUAAAGCUCUUUCACCGGUGAAGAUAAUGACGGUAACCGGAGAAGAAGCCCCGGCUAACUUCGUGCCAGCAGCCGCGGUAAUACGAAGGGGGCUAGCGUUGUUCGGAAUUACUGGGCGUAAAGCGCACGUAGGCGGACAUUUAAGUCAGGGGUGAAAUCCCAGAGCUCAACUCUGGAACUGCCUUUGAUACUGGGUGUCCUGAGUAUGGAAGAGGUAAGUGGAAUUCCGAGUGUAGAGGUGAAAUUCGUAGAUAUUCGGAGGAACACCAGUGGCGAAGGCGGCUUACUGGUCCAUUACUGACGCUGAGGUGCGAAAGCGUGGGGAGCAAACAGGAUUAGAUACCCGGGUAGUCC